GCUGGGCAUGGUGGUGAGUGCCUGUAAUCCCAGCUACUCGGGAGGCUGAGGCAGGAGAAUUGCUCGAACCCAGGAGGCAGAGGUUGCAGUGAGCCAAGAUUGCACCAUUGCAAUCCAGCCUGGGCAACAGAGCAAGACUCUGUCUCAA
rnacentral:SRP_RNA from 1 species